ACCAACAACUCAAACUAUGAUUUUUACAAACCGGUUAUGUAAACAUCCACUUAUGACAACUAAGAACAGGAAGCGGUGAGUAACUGGUUUAAAAAUGAUGAAAAUGUUUUGCCUUGUAUCAUGGGUCUUCAUUUGUGAAGCAGAUUUCUAAAUCUGCUAGACACCAACAUGGGCAGAUCAUAAAUUGGCAUAAACAGCAUGAAUCUAGUGAGUAUUGUACAGUGAGUAAUGUCGCUAAUCAUAUUCAUCCCUCUUAUGACUGCAGUCCAUCAUCUGGUGGAUACUAUCAGCAGAAUAAUGCAGCACAUUGCAACCCAAGUUAUUUGGGGUAAUCCAGAUAUUUUUAUAACUGAGGUUAUGUCUCCCUUUGUCUCUUUUAUCCUGCCAUCCACCAUUCGUGAACUAAGUAUGAAAUCUUGCAAGAUGUAGCAGGAUUUGAGUUUUUAAAAGUGGGGGCGGAGCCCAUUGUUUGGUCUGGGAGCGCAUGUUGUGGACAGGGAAGUUCAGGCCUGGCUGCUGCAGUUUCUAGAUGCAUCUAAUAUUUGGAAAGAUUGAGUUUGACGGGCUUACAAACAGGAAGAAAAGAACUGAUAAACUGUGCUGGUGUGUCCAUCCGUCAGGUUCAGCUUGUCACAAACAGCCUCAACACAUCUCCACAUUGAUCCAGGCUGCAGUUUAGUUGAGGCCCCUACUACUCCUAAUGCUGUUCUGCCACCAAAAUAAAACCCGGCGACAUGCCUGCUCAGCUAAUCAAUGGGAUCAAUAGUGCAUUGCAUCCUCUUAUAAAUAUGUUGACACCCGUCAGGUCCUGUAAGUCAACUGUGAAUUACAUUUUUGUGCUGCCACGCUAGUUAAAAGAGUCAGUAUGCUGCUCGGUGUGUGACAAAAUCCAGCAGUCGUGGCUGAUUUGAGUUAAUGCCCCCGCAUCUCAGUGCUCCACCCCUGCUAUUGAUUACUGUUUAAAAGGCUAUGGGUAGUCAAUACGACCCCUCAUCACCAUCUGUCUCUAUUUACUAAUAAAUAAAGUGGAGUGCAUUGACUGCUUGGGCCGGGCCUGUAAAAGCAUGCAUGCUAAUAAGCGUCAGGCCCCUGUAGACACAGGAGCAAGAAGGUGUGGACUUUCUUCCUCCUCACAAUCUCUGCCUUGUGCUUUGCACGAGGCACAGAACUCCAAUCAUUGUAAUUGCCUGCCGGUCUUCCUGGUGUUCAAUAUCCCUCAUCAAACGAAAUGCGUCUUCGCUCCGCCUGCAUGGAUUUUUUUUUCCUCCACUCGUGUCCUCGCUGUUGUGUUGUUGUUUUUUCCUCUGCAGUAGUGUGCAGGUCAGCUUUUAGGGCCAUGUCUAGUCAUUUGUCAAGACGUGGGCCAUAAGCUUUGCCUCACCACACUCUGUUUUACUGAUCAAUUACAGUUCAUACAGAGGGGCUCAUUUAAAAAAAGCACCAAUAAAGCAAGUAUCAUAAAUGACACCAUUUUUUCCAUCCAGGUUUUCGAUCGGACUUUCUGCUGCAUGUGCUCGGGAAUAAAUUAGUCUUUGUUUUAAUAAAGAUGCUGUAGAGUUGUUAUGUUUUUGUUAAA